rnacentral:rRNA from 1 species
CACGUUCGGAUUGCAGGCUGCAACCCGCCUGCAUGAAGUUGGAAUCGCUAGUAAUCGCGGAUCAGCAUGCCGCGGUGAAUACGUUCCCGGGCCUUGUACACACCGCCCGUCACACCAUGAGAGUCGGGAACACCCGAAGUCCGUAGCCUAACCGCAAGGGGGCGCGGCCGAAGGUGGGUUCGAUAAUUGGGGUGAAGUCGUAACAAGGUAGC